AACGCGAAGAACCUUACCUAGACUUGACAUCUCCUGAAUUACUCUUAAUCGAGGAAGCCCUUCGGGGCAGGAAGACAGGUGGCGCAUGGUUGUCGUCAGCUCGUGUCGUGAGAUGUUGGGUUAAGUUCCGCAACGAGCGCAACCCUUAUUGUUAGUCGCUACCAUUUAGUUGAGCACUCUAGCGAGACUGCCGUGGUUAACGCGGAGGAAGGUGGGGAUGACGUCAAAUCAUCAUGCCCCUUAUGUCUAGGGCUACACACGUGCUACAAUGGUCGGUACAGAGAGAUGCGAAACCGCGAGGUGGAGCCAAACUUCAAAACCGAUCUCAGUUCGGAUUGUAGGCUGAAACUCGCCUACAUGAAGCUGGAGUUGCUAGUAAUCGCGAAUCAGAAUGCCGCGGUGAAUACGUUCCCGGGCCUUGUACACACCG
rnacentral:rRNA from 1 species